CAAAUAGUAGAAGAUUAUGAAUUUGUUACUAUGAUUGUUACGAAAUUUGGAAGGAACAAUUAGUAUGAUUUUGAACCGUCGUCACUUAAUCAGGUCGGUGAGAAAAGUCCAAUUCAAAAACCAACAAUUCUCCCCACCAUCACCAUCACCACCACCAUCACCACCACCACCACCUCUUCCCUCUUCAAUUUUCUGUGAAAUUCACACUUUCUCAUUGCUUCCGAGCUCUGUUUUGCAAGCUACUCUUCUUCAUUCUCUCAACAAGGGCUAUGGCUGAUACGGCUCACAAUAACCUCAAUGCUAAACUCGUCUUACUUGGAGACAUGGGCACUGGUAAAUCGAGCCUUGUCAUACGUUUCGUAAAGGGCCAAUUUCUCGAAUUCCAAGAAUCAACCAUCGGGGCGGCCUUCUUCUCACAGACGGUAUCUGUGAACAGUGCCACUGUGAAGUUUGAGAUCUGGGACACUGCUGGCCAGGAGAGGUAUCAUAGCUUGGCUCCCAUGUAUUAUAGAGGUGCUGCUGCUGCGAUAAUCGUUUACGACAUCACUAGCUCGGAUUCAUUUGCAAAGGCUAAGAAGUGGGUGCAGGAACUACAAAAGCAAGGUAAUCCUAACAUGGUAAUGGCACUGGCUGGAAAUAAAUGUGAUCUUGAAGACAAGAGGAAUGUAACUGCAGAAGAAGCACGUGCUUAUGCUGAUGAAAAUGGUCUUUUCUUCUUGGAAACCUCUGCAAAAACUGCAGUUAAUGUGAAUGAUACAUUCUAUGAAAUAGCUAAGAAGUUACCUAGAGCUCAACCCACCCAGAAUCCAGCAGGAAUGCUCUUGGUUGAUAGACCUGCAGACGGAUCCCGUGCUGCAUCAUGUUGUGGUUAAGAAGUGCCUGGGAAAUAACUACCGGCAGGUACUUUUCUUUGUAUGUCCUGCGUCCAUGGAUGUUGCGAGAAGUGUUCAUCGGGUUUUGCAUUCCCGUACCUUAAAUCAAGAGCGUGACCUAGUAUGUGAAUCAAGAAUGACCCAAUUUGUCCACGAUAAUGUUCGUCUAAUUUGUUAUACUUCAUGUCGUAGUAUAUUUAAAGAUAAUAUUUUGUUAGAUCUCAAACAAUUGAGGAGCUUGCAAUCUUAUGAAUCCUUUAGGUUAUAAUGGAAGUCUAAUGUCACAAAUGUCGACCAUUUCUGCUCA